AGCGUCCAUAAAAAAGUAUACGAACCAGGUGGAAUUUAUCCAACAGCCGCACGAGCAGCCGCCGCGGUAGCGAAGAGUGGGGACGGGGAAGCGAUCGGAGGCAAUGGCGAACGGCGGCGAUGGCGACGGCGAUGUCCCGGAGAACGCCAACGAGCAUUGCCCCGGGACGCAGUCGGAGGCGGCCGGGAAGGCGGAGUCCUGCGCCGGGUGCCCCAACCAGCAGAUCUGCGCCACCGCGCCCAAGGGCCCCGACCCAGACCUGCUUGCCAUCAUUGAGCGAAUGAAUACUGUGAAACAUAAGAUACUGGUGUUGUCUGGAAAGGGUGGUGUCGGGAAGAGUACCUUUUCAGCCCAACUCUCUUUUGCCCUUGCUGAGAUGAACUAUCAGGUCGGCCUUCUUGACAUAGACAUAUGCGGACCUAGCAUCCCAAAAAUGUUAGGCCUUGAAGGCCAGGAUAUUCAUCAAAGCAAUGCUGGCUGGUCACCAGUGUAUGUUGAGUCCAACCUUGGUGUCAUGUCAAUUGGCUUCAUGCUGCCGAACCCAGAUGAUGCUGUCAUAUGGAGAGGUCCUCGCAAGAAUGGGCUCAUCAAACAGUUCCUGAAGGAUGUUGAUUGGGGAGAUAUCGACUACCUUGUGGUGGAUGCUCCUCCAGGAACCUCAGACGAACAUAUUUCAAUUGUGCAGUACCUCCAGAUUGCAGGAAUCGAUGGUGCCAUCAUCGUCACCACUCCGCAGCAAGUUUCUCUAAUUGACGUGAGGAAGGAGAUAAGCUUCUGCAAAAAGGUUAGCGUUCCUGUCCUCGGUGUCGUGGAGAACAUGAGUGGCCUGAGGCAGACACUUUCAGAUAUGAAAUUUGUGAAGCCAAGUGAGAAUGGCGAGACAGACGCCACUGAGUGGGCACUGGACUACAUCAAGGACAAGGCCCCCGAACUUCUAUCGCUCAUUGCAUGCAGCGAGGUGUUCGAUAGCAGCAAGGGUGGCGCCGAGAAGAUGUGCCAUGAGAUGGGGGUCCCUUUCCUCGGGAAGGUGCCCAUGGAUCCGCAGCUCUGCAAGGCGGCGGAGGAGGGGAGGUCAUGCUUCACAGAUCAGAAGUGCAGUGCAAGUGCUCCAGCUCUUAGAAGCAUAAUCAAGAAGCUGAUCAAGACACAGUAGGAGGGUGUUGACAGACAGCAAUGAAAAUAUGGUUAAUUGUAGACUACUAUUAGGCAGUGUCUGUGUGCCCGUGCGUUGCUACGGGAAAAAAUAGAAGUACAUAUACAUUAAUGCGAAAGGCGAAUAAUGACAUAGACGUAGGAGGUUUAGGGCAAGCGACAAGUUUGAAAACAACCUAGUCCAGCAAGGGCUAAAGGCAAGCGACAAGUUGGAAAACAACCUAGUCCAGCUCCGCGGUGGCCUCCUUAUACAGUUCUGUAGCUGAAUUGAUGAAGGAGUUCGUGGGGACAAGCUCAAUUGUAGGGCAUGCUCAUAUGAAACUUUGUCAGGGACACGAUCCUUAACCCAUGCGCUCAACCAGGCAGUUAUUUUGGAUCGAAGGAUUGGAGGACGGAGCAAGGAAAAAUUCUCGUGUUUUUUGCGUUAUUCAAUCAUUGAUUCUUGUCGUAUACUCCCUUGUUCAGUCUUACAAAUAUGUGAACGUCAAUUCUUGACACUAUAUAUAUGAACA